rnacentral:rRNA from 3 species
GGGGGAUAACUACUGGAAACGGUAGCUAAUACCGCAUAACGUCGCAAGACCAAAGAGGGGGACCUUCGGGCCUCUUGCCAUCGGAUGUGCCCAGAUGGGAUUAGCUAGUAGGUGGGGUAACGGCUCACCUAGGCGACGAUCCCUAGCUGGUCUGAGAGGAUGACCAGCCACACUGGAACUGAGACACGGUCCAGACUCCUACGGGAGGCAGCAGUGGGGAAUAUUGCACAAUGGGCGCAAGCCUGAUGCAGCCAUGCCGCGUGUAUGAAGAAGGCCUUCGGGUUGUAAAGUACUUUCAGCGGGGAGGAAGGGAGUAAAGUUAAUACCUUUGCUCAUUGACGUUACCCGCAGAAGAAGCACCGGCUAACUCCGUGCCAGCAGCCGCGGUAAUACGGAGGGUGCAAGCGUUAAUCGGAAUUACUGGGCGUAAAGCGCACGCAGGCGGUUUGUUAAGUCAGAUGUGAAAUCCCCGGGCUCAACCUGGGAACUGCAUCUGAUACUGGCAAGCUUGAGUCUCGUAGAGGGGGGUAGAAUUCCAGGUGUAGCGGUGAAAUGCGUAGAGAUCUGGAGGAAUACCGGUGGCGAAGGCGGCCCCCUGGACGAAGACUGACGCUCAGGUGCGAAAGCGUGGGGAGCAAACAGGAUU